UUACUCCCCAAAAGUACCUUAAAUAAGUCACAACGGAUAAUUGAACUGGAAGCAGAGGAUUUUAAAAUGAGGAAUAGAGAGUGUGGAAAGAGAGAAGACACUACAAAGGAAUCAAAAUAUCCAAGGUGUUUAAAAAAAAGGAGACAGAAGAGAUAAGAUUUCCAGCCUCCACCAUAACGUUAUGAGUUAUCAGACAUUCGUAUGCAGCAAAGAGUCUGUCCUCUGUCUUAGACCAGCAUAAAAUUGGCAAUACUUCACAAUGGAGCAGCUCAUCACCACAUUGCUGCAGUGAAAGAGGACAGGCUAGUUUAUGGACUUCUCCAUGUCUGGCAUCAUUCCGAUUCCAUAAUCAGCAGACAGCAGGGAAAGCCAACUAUGUCAAUUACUUGUUCCCUUCCCCCUGCCCACCCGAGGGAGCAAACACUUCCUCUGCUGACGUGCACCCGUCUCACUGCCCCUACCCCCCAGCCCAACAAGCUCUCCCCACCCCUCAGCAUGGCACUCCAUCCAGUGGCCUGGAUAUGAACUAACAAUACGUCCACAGACAGCAAGCUGCUGAGGGACUGGCUCCCUGUUGCUACAAUAAAGGCCACCAAAUUGGGAAGCAGAUGAUGGCCAAGUUGAAAAGCAGAACCUCGAGCGGGAAGGUGAUGCUGGAACUGUAUAAAUUGUUGUUUAGGCCACAGAGAGAGUACAGUUCUGGAAUCCACACUAUCGGAGGGAAAGAACAAAGAAGAGAUUUGCAGAUGUUGCCUGGGCUGGAGAGUUUAAGCUUUGAAGACAAAUUAAAUAGACUGGGGUUAGAGCAGAGGACACAGAGAAAGGACUUGAUUAAGAUGUAUAAAAUUACAGGGACAUAGAUUGGGUAGACAGGAAGGUACUUUUAUUCUUGGAAAAGGGAUUAAUGACUGGGGGCAAGGAUUUAAGGUAAGGAGCAGGAGGAUUAGAGGGAAUGUGAAGAAAAUGUUU